rnacentral:rRNA from 1 species
GGCGGCGUGCCUAACACAUGCAAGUCGUACAAGAAAGUCGGCUUCGGCUGAUGAGUAAAGUGGCGCACGGGUGAGUAACGCGUGGAUAAUCUGCCCUUGAGUGUGGAAUAACGUACCGAAAGGUGCGCUAAUACCGCAUAAUGCCUGGCAACACAAGUUGUCCGGCCAAAGAAGGCCUCUGUUUACAAGCUUUUGCUCAAGGAUGAGUCCGCGUACCAUUAGCUAGUUGGUGGGGUAACGGCCUACCAAGGCUACGAUGGUUAGCUGGUCUGAGAGGAUGAUCAGCCACACUGGAACUGAGACACGGUCCAGACUCCUACGGGAGGCAGCAGUGAGGAAUAUUGCGCAAUGGGGGCAACCCUGACGCAGCAACGCCGCGUGAGUGAGGAAGGUUUUCGGACUGUAAAGCUCUGUCGAGCGGGAAGAAAUGUAUCAUGGCUAAUAUCCAUGAUACUUGACGGUACCGCUAAAGGAAGCACCGGCUAACUCCGUG